rnacentral:rRNA from 1 species
ACACGACUACAUUAGAUACCCUGUAGUCCUAGCCGUAAACGAUACUCGCUAGGUGUCGGCCACGGUGCGACCGUUGUCGGUGCCGUAGGGAAGCCGUGAAGCGAGCCACCUGGGAAGUACGGCCGCAAGGCUGAAACUUAAAGGAAUUGGCGGGGGAGCACCACAACGGGUGGAGCUUGCGGUUUAAUUGGAUUCAACGCCGGAAAUCUUACCGGGACCGACAGCAACAUGAAGGCCAGGCUGAAGACUUUGCCGGAUUAGCUG